rnacentral:hammerhead_ribozyme from 1 species
AUGCAGCUGAUGAGUCCCAAAUAGGACGAAACGCGCGUCCUGGAU